UUUUCAUUUCAGAAGUGUUUAUGCGUCCAUGAGACUAAACCAUAAACAUAAACCUCAUCAUAACCCUCAUUGAUCAUCGAAAAUCAAUAAUAAAGAGUGGCAUUAGUGUAA